UCGGGAUAAGGGGUCCUCCCCGCAUGGGGAGGCGCAGAGAAUAGGUCCAGGCAACUGUUUAGCAAAAACACAGGGCUGUGCGAAGCCGCAAGGCGCGGUAUACAGCCUGACACCUGCCCGGUGCCGGAAGGUUAAGCGGAGCUGUCAGAGCAAUCGAAGCAGUGAAGUGAAGCCCCGGUAAACGGCGGCCGUAACUAUAACGGUCCUAAGGUAGCGAAAUUCCUUGUCGGGUAAGUUCCGACCUGCACGAAUGGUGUAAUGAUCCGGACACUGUCUCAACCAUGAACUCGGUGAAAUUGUAGUAUCGGUGAAGAUGCCGAUUACCCGCAACGGGACGAAAAGACCCCGUGAACCUUUACUGCAGCUUAGCACUGUGACCGGGUAUGUCAUGUGUAGGAUAGUCAGGAGGCAAUGAGCCGGCGACGCCAGUUGUCGGGGAGCCGUUGUUGAAAUACUGACCUUGACAUAUUUGGUCUCUAACUCUCGUGUUGAGAGGACACUGCUUGGUGGGUAGUUUGACUGGGGUGGUCGCCUCCAAAAGCGUAACGGAGGCUCCUAAAGGUGCCCUCAGGCCGAUUGGCAACCGGCCGCAGAGUGCAAUGGCAUAAGGGCGCUUGACUGCGAGACAAACAUGUCGAACAGGAAGGAAACUUGAGCAUAGUGAUCCGGCGGUUCCGCAUGGAAGGGCCGNNNNNNNNNNGACCUCCGGUUUACCGGUUGUACCGCCAGGUGCACCGCCGGGUAUCCGCGUCGGGUCAGGAUAAGUGCUGAAAGCAUCUAAGCACGAAGCCCUCCCCAAGAUAAGAUCUCCACAUUAGGGACGUUACAGACGAUGACGUAGAUAGGAUGCAGGUGCAGGGGCAGCAAUGUCCACAGCCGAGCAUUACUAAUCGCCCGAACCCUUUCCUUG
rnacentral:ncRNA from 1 species